rnacentral:rRNA from 1 species
AGAGUUUGAUCCUGGCUCAGAGCGAACGCUGGCGGCAGGCUUAACACAUGCAAGUCGAGCGGGCGUAGCAAUACGUCAGCGGCAGACGGGUGAGUAACGCGUGGGAACGUACCUUUUGGUUCGGAACAACACAGGGAAACUUGUGCUAAUACCGGAUAAGCCCUUACGGGGAAAGAUUUAUCGCCGAAAGAUCGGCCCGCGUCUGAUUAGCUAGUUGGUGAGGUAAUGGCUCACCAAGGCGACGAUCAGUAGCUGGUCUGAGAGGAUGAUCAGCCACAUUGGGACUGAGACACGGCCCAAACUCCUACGGGAGGCAGCAGUGGGGAAUAUUGGACAAUGGGCGCAAGCCUGAUCCAGCCAUGCCGCGUGAGUGAUGAAGGCCCUAGGGUUGUAAAGCUCUUUUGUGCGGGAAGAUAAUGACGGUACCGCAAGAAUAAGCCCCGGCUAACUUCGUGCCAGCAGCCGCGGUAAUAC